rnacentral:rRNA from 1 species
UCGAGAAUUUUUCUCAAUGGGGGCAACCCUGAAGGAGCGACGCCGCGUGGAGGAUGAAGGCUUUCGGGUUGUAAACUCCUGUCAUUUGAGAACAAGUGGGACGCAGUAACUACGCGUCCCUUGAUAGUAUCAGAAGAGGAAGGGACGGCUAACUCUGUGCCAGCAGCCGCGGUAAUACAGAGGUCCCAAGCGUUGUUCGGAUUCAUUGGGCGUAAAGGGUGCGUAGGUGGCGCUGUAAGUGGGGUGUGAAAUCCCGGGGCUUAACCCCGGGACUGCAUUCCAUACUGCGGUGCUUGAGGACUGGAGAGGAGACUGGAAUUUACGGUGUAGCAGUGAAAUGCGUAGAGAUCGUAAGGAAGACCAGUGGCGAAGGCGGGUCUCUGGACAGUUCCUGACACUGAGGCACGAAGGCCAGGGGAGCAAACGGGAUUAGAUACCCCGGUAGUCC